GACGAACGCUGGCGGCGUGCCUAAUACAUGCAAGUCGAACGCAGUGGGGACGGGUGCGUAACACGUGGGUAACCUCCCAUCAGAGGGGAUAACCCUUGGAUACAGGUGCUAAACCGAUACUGAUGGAUCUACUCGGAGGGGAUUAGCUAGUUGGUGGGGUAACGGCUCACCAAGGCCACGAUGCAUAGCCGGCCUGAGAGGAUGACCAGCCACACUGGAACUGAGACACGGCCCAGACUCCUACGGGAGGCAGCAGUAGGGAAUAUUGGGCAAUGGGCGCAAGUCUGACCGAGCCAUGCCGCGUGAGUGAAGAAGGUUUUCGGAUCGUAAAGCUCUGUUGUCGGAGAAGCGGUAUCUAACCAGAAAGCAACGGCUAACUACGUGCCAGCAGCCGCGGUAAUAC
rnacentral:rRNA from 1 species